AAAAGUCAGGUUAGUUUAAUAAAUAAAACACCAACUUGUGGAUUUGGAGAUGAAAAUUUUAUCACUUGAC
rnacentral:tRNA from 1 species